rnacentral:tRNA from 1 species
CGGCCCCUAGCUCAGUUGUGGAGAGCGCCGGAGUGAAAUCCCGGAGGUCGGCGGUUCGAGUCCGUCGGGGUCGG